GUCGUCGGCUGUAACCGCGGUUUGGUGGUCUGCGUCAUUGUUACCCUCCGCCCGCUCGCUGGUGCCAUAGGACGCCUCGCAUCCUCCCGCAACCUCGUCGUAAGCAUCGUAGUCGUCGUAUUCCUCCUCCUGACGUGCCAAGGCGAGUAAGAGAUGUCACAACACUGCGUCUGUCGACGAUGAAGACUGAAAAACCCCAGCUCUGAAAACCUCACCUCCUCCUGCCAAUACUCCUCGUCCUCCAGAUAGGCUGGACCGCGUCUGUUUCGUCCCAUCUCCGCUGCUUCUUAAAUUCAGGGAUCGAGGACAGAACGAGCACGGUCGCUUGGUGGUGGUGGGUGGGGAGGUGGCCUCGCAGCGCGAGAACAGGCCCUUGGCCUUGCACACUGGGCUCAGAUGUCCAUACUGGGCAACGCUUGCGAGAAGGCUGGGCAAAAUGCCGGCCUCAACGCAGGUGCGGAGCGACUCGUCGGCAGGCGAGAACCGGGCCCAAACCGGGGCCCCUAGAGGAUGCAGGCUAAUGUUGAUGACGCCCUCACAGGAGAGGCGUCAAGCACCGGGCCGAUGAAUGCAAGUGUGGGUCUCGGCCUGAAUUGCGCUCGCUUGACGAGUGGUAGAAGCUGCAGGGUAUGUGAGACUAGUUACUGUGGCUUGACAAUAAGCUUGUUAUGGUAUUUCUGCCGCGUG
rnacentral:lncRNA from 1 species